UGGUGGCUAGGAAACGAGAGGUUGCGACACGCCAGGCCGCUUUGCCAUGGCCGAGCCUGUCGGAAAAUUUUCGUGGAGCUAUGUCUACUUUUAAAAUAGGCGAAGGAGGGAAAAUAAUGGCAA
rfam:Tetragenococcus muriaticus 3MR10-3 WGS_Sequence210_175, whole genome shotgun sequence.